CUCCGCCGCUUCCUUGUGUCUUUCAUAUUUUGGUUGGAAACCUAAAUGCAGAAGCUCAUCUGUCAGACAGUCAGAAGAGAUCCAUCAAAUGCAUGCAUCAAAAGUCAAUGGCGGCUGCUGAUCAAAUAAAGAUUUUAUCUUUCACAGCAAAAACAUUACAUAAUCAUCAGAAAAUGAGUAGUUCAAUUCAACAUCGUGAAAAAAUCGAUGUGAAAGUUAAAGAUCCCAUUAUAACUUUGAUGAGUCAGAUGAGGAAGAUCAAAUUAUUUUCUAUAGAAAACAUGACGAAUCUGCAGAGAAAACGAUGUGAAAGUUGAAGGAAAUGAUACUUUAUUCUCCUUAAGGAAACGAGGGAGACCUAGAAAAAAACAUUGCGAAAAGUGAUUCAACUGAUACUGUAAGUUUCUUCUUCCUUAAUUGAUAGAGAGUUUUCUGGUAUUGUUUGUGCUUGCUUAUUAUGAGAAAAUUCUAUCAUAACAGAAUGUGAAUAGUUUUGCUGAUGGACUUCGUGUAAAGAAGCCAAAUUAUAUUUUUGAUGAGUUAGAUGAAGAUUUAGAUAUCUUCCCCAGCAAACAUGGGAACCCUACAGAAAACAUCGUCAAAAUUGAAAGAAGUCACACACUCUGAAAGAAAAGAUCCAAAUACAAGUAUGUUAUCUCAAUGCAUAAAAAAUCAAGGGACGCUGAUGCUAAUCAAAUGAACAUUAUCUUUCACAGCAAAAACAUUACAGUGCCAUCAGUACUCUGGAAGAGUUGUACAGUGUAAAAAGCUUGAGAAUACGUAAAUACAUAAUGGAGAAAAAAACACGUUGAGGCUGCUCCUUUUCAAUUGCUCAAUGGUCUAUGACUUGGCUUUUUCAAUUGUUCGAGUGUCUAU